AGCAGUCGCCGCGGGAAUACCGAGGGUGCAAGCGUUAAUCGGAAUUACUGGGCGUAAAGCGCGCGUAGGUGGUUUGUUAAGUUGGAUGUGAAAUCCCCGGGCUCAACCUGGGAACUGCAUCCAAAACUGGCAAGCUAGAGUAUGGUAGAGGGUGGUGGAAUUUCCUGUGUAGCGGUGAAAUGCGUAGAUAUAGGAAGGAACACCAGUGGCGAAGGCGACCACCUGGACUGAUACUGACACUGAGGUGCGAAAGCGUGGGGAGCAAACAGGAUUAGAUACCCGCGUAGUCCCUGUCUCUUAUAC
rnacentral:rRNA from 1 species